rnacentral:rRNA from 1 species
AUUGAACGCUGGCGGCAGGCUUAACACAUGCAAGUCGAGCGGGGUGAUGGUGCUUGCACUAUCACUUAGCGGCGGACGGGUGAGUAAUGCUUAGGAAUCUGCCUAUUAGUGGGGGACAACAUCUCGAAAGGGAUGCUAAUACCGCAUACGUCCUACGGGAGAAAGCAGGGGAUCACUUGUGACCUUGCGCUGAUAGAUGAGCCUAAGUCGGAUUAGCUAGUUGGUGGGGUAAAGGCCUACCAAGGCGACGAUCUGUAGCGGGUCUGAGAGGAUGAUCCGCCACACUGGUACUGAGACACGGGCCAGACUCCUACGGGAGGCAGCAGUGGGGAAUAUUGGACAAUGGGGGGAACCCUGAUCCAGCCAUGCCGCGUGUGUGAAGAAGGCCUUAUGAUUGUAAAGCACUUUAAGCGAGGAGGAGGCUCUUUUGGUUAAUACCCAAGAUGAGUGGACGUUACUCGCAGAAUAAGCACCGGCUAACUCUGUGCCAGCCGCCGCCGUAA